rnacentral:rRNA from 1 species
CUGGAGGUAUCAGAAGUGCGAAUGCUGACAUAAGUAACGAUAAAGCGGGUGAAAAGCCCGCUCGCCGGAAGACCAAGGGUUCCUGUCCAACGUUAAUCGGGGCAGGGUGAGUCGACCCCUAAGGCGAGGCCGAAAGGCGUAGUCGAUGGGAAACAGGUUAAUAUUCCUGUACUUGGUGUUACUGCGAAGGGGGGACGGAGAAGGCUAUGUUGGCCGGGCGACGGUUGUCCCGGUUUAAGCGUGUAGGCUGGUUUUCCAGGCAAAUCCGGAAAAUCAAGGCUGAGGCGUGAUGACGAGGCACUACGGUGCUGAAGCAACAAAUGCCCUGCUUCCAGGAAAAGCCUCUAAGCAUCAGGUAACAUCAAAUCGUACCCCAAACCGACACAGGUGGUCAGGUAGAGAAUAC